rnacentral:rRNA from 1 species
CCUACGGGUGGCAGCAGUGGGGAAUAUUGCACAAUGGGGGAAACCCUGAUGCAGCGACGCCGCGUGAGUGAAGAAGUAAUUCGUUAUGUAAAGCUCUAUCAGCAGGGAAGAAAAUGACGGUACUUGAGUAAGAAGCCCCGGCUAACUACGUGCCAGCAGCCGCGGUAAUACGUAGGGGGCAAGCGUUAUCCGGAUUUACGGGGUGUAAAGGGAGCGCAGGCGGCACGGCAAGCCUGAUGUGAAAGCCCGCGGCCCAACCGCGGGACUGCAUUGGGAACUACCGGGCUGGAGUGCCGGAGAGGUAGGCGGAAUUCCUAGUGUAGCGGUGAAAUGCGUAGAUAUUAGGAGGAACACCAGUGGCGAAGGCGGCCUACUGGACGGUGACUGACGCUGAGGCUCGAAAGCGUGGGGAGCAAACAGGAUUAGAUACCCCUGUAGUC